rnacentral:rRNA from 1 species
CAGUCGCCGGGUAAUACGAAGGGGGCUAGCGUUGUUCGGAAUUACUGGGCGUAAAGCGCACGUAGGCGGAUAUUUAAGUCAGGGGUGAAAUCCCGCAGCUCAACUGCGGAACUGCCUUUGAUACUGGGUAUCUUGAGUAUGGAAGAGGUUAGUGGAAUUGCGAGUGUAGAGGUGAAAUUCGUAGAUAUUCGCAGGAACACCAGUGGCGAAGGCGGCUAACUGGUCCAUAACUGACGCUGAGGUGCGAAAGCGUGGGGAGCAAACAGGAUUAGAUACCCCAGUAGUCCCUGUCUCUUAUACA